rnacentral:misc_RNA from 1 species
UACGGAGGGUGCAAGCGUUGUCCGGAUUUAUUGGGUUUAAAGGGUGCGUAGGCGGCUUUUUAAGUCAGCGGUGAAAGCCCGGGGCUCAACCCCGGAACCGCCGUUGAUACUGGAAGGCUUGAGUAUGGACGAGGUUGGCGGAAUUGAAGAUGUAGCGGUGAAAUGCUUAGAUAUCUUCAAGAACACCGAUUGCGUAGGCAGCUAACUAGGCCAUAACUGACGCUGAGGCACGAAAGCGUGGGGAGCGAACAGG